CGCCCACGUGACCGCGAUCCCUCGGGAUUGCCGGCGGGGGUCGCGGCCGCGCGCGCUCUCUCCCUCUCUCUCUCUCUCUUCAGGGCUCGCCGGGAACCUCGCGUUUUAAGCUUGAAAGGGUCGUGCGUGUCCUUGGAGAAAGCGGCCCCGCUCCUCCCCAGCCCUGCCGCACGGAGGGACCAGGUGUUCCGGAGCAGUCGGAGCGCAGGCGCGCACGCUUGGGUCCCCCCCCCCCCAGAUGUGAGCUGUUACAACCCUUUGGGAAAGUAGUCCCUAAGGUUGUAAGUGUGCCUGACCUUUGACCCAGCAGUCUGCCCUCUGGGAAUCUUCUAGAAGUAAAAGCAAUAGCAGGUCCUGAAGGAGUGUAAGGUAGAAGAAGAGUUAGAGGAUUCCUACUGGACAUCCAGGUGGAAAUGCCCGGCCUGCCCUUGGAUCUGUGAGUCUGGCACUUGCAGAAGAGGGCAGAACUAGGACUGUGAACACGCAGAUGGUUAAACCCACGGGACUGAUGAGAUGGGUCAGCAAGAAUAUCCACUGAGAAGAAGAGUAUUCCAAGGAUCUGCCCCUCUGAUGAAGAAGGCGAAUGAGAAGACCGAGAGGGGGCAGCCACUGAGGAUGGAUGGACAAUGUAGCACCUACCUCUUUGGGUUAGUCGGAGGAAGAAAUGAAAAUAUGCCUUGUCUACAGGAAAUACGUGGAAUAAAGGUCCAAAACGGUUAUUGCUGAGUGGGUGUGGCACAGUGAAAAUGCAGCAUCAGGUUCAUUUUGUUCUUCGGGCAGUGUUCUCUACUGUACAUGCAAACUGCUUCGGGCGGGGGCUCAGCGGGAGCUCCAGGCUCCCACGCCUCCGAAACUAGUCCGGCUCCAGAGGGAAGAGAGGCCACCACAGCAGCUCCGUCACACAAAGAAACGGGCGUGGCCAUUUCUGUUCAACUUAAGAAUCUUCCCAAGACGCUGUUUGGCGGUUGCCAUUCCUUUUUUUGGACGUUUACCUAGAAGACACCAACAUCAGUUUAAGAGUGAAGAUCAUUCUUGGCAGACACACCUGCAGACGUGAAGGGAGAGCGACAGGGAAAGCAAGCCUUUCGGGUGUUCGGGGGGCAGAGUCACUAUGGAGCUCUGCCCUUUCAAGCCUCCCGGCUCAUCAGCUGAGAGAGAAAGGCCAACCUCCCUCAGGCUGCCCACAGCCUGACCCCUGCCUAGCACCUGAGCAGGAGCCCUGACCGAAUCUGGCAUCUAACUGUGCGUCAGCCACCAAACCGACUGCAGUUUCAUAGAGCCCACGGACUGUUUCUCACCUGUACCACUGGCCACACUAUCUCCUUGACCUUCACUGUGGUCUAGCCUGUGUGGCCAACCCCUUACCAUCCUCGUCAGGAUCCACCACCUCUCCUCCAGGUUCCACCUGGGUACCCUGGUCUGUUUCCACACUCACUGCUGCAUACUGCCACCACUGCGCCAUCCAGUGUGCAUCAGGGCACACUGAGGGCAGGGACCACUGCGUCUAACUGAACUUCCACCGUCACCAAGAUACACAGUCAAAAACAUACUCAGCCUACAAACGUGCAAGUUACCUUUUGUUGCCUGGUUGCUGAUAGGUGGUGGAUUGGAUGCAGGUCUCUUUGUGGGGUGAAGGGGCACUGAAAAGGAAGUUUCACCGACUGGCCUUUCUGGGCUUACGCUGCCAUUAUUUAUCUGGCACACCCCUGAAAUCAAGCUUGAAUUCUGUGUAUACUUUCCAUUUUGCGGGCUUGAGCCACUGCUGUCCACAGAAUUCCUACUUUGUACCUUCUGACUGAUUUCUGAUGAACUUUCCUUUUUGAUGCAUUUCUGGCCUCUACUUAGAUCCUAGAAAAGGAAGGAAAUAAGUAAAGCUGGGUUUUUAGAGUUCCUUUAAGAUACGUGAGCUAUUUAACCUCUCUAUGCGAUAGCAAGUCAAGAGAGAGAACAGACUACUGAACUUUGGUUUUCCUAACAUAUAGCAGCCACAGACGACUACACCUUCAGGGUGGUCAUGUCAUUCCCAAACCUAAUAGCACGAAAGGAUUCCAUUAUUAAUUAUUUUUUUUAAGAUUUAUUUAUUUAUUUAUUCAUGAUAGAGAGAGAGAGAGAGGCAGAGACACAGGAGGAGGGAGAAGCAGGCUCCAUGCCGGAAGCCCGAGGCAGGACUUAAUCCCGGGACUCCAGGAUCACGCCCUGGGCCAAAGGCAGGUGCUAAACCACUGAGCCACCCAGGGAUCCCCAGGAUUCCAUUAUUAAAGUGUGCAUCAUAACUUAAGUCUAGAAGAAAACAUUUUUAUUUACAUAUAUAUAUGAAUUUGGAUAUUUAUAUAUAUAAAUGUAUAUAACUUUUUUAAAAUUUUUAUUUAUUUAUGAUAGUCACAGAGAGAGAGAGAGAGAGGC